UUUUUUGGUACAGGGAUUAAACUCAGAUGCACUCAGCCACUGAGCCACCCACCCAGCCUUAUUUUGUAUUUUAUUUAGAGACAGGGUCUCACUGAGUUGCUUAGUGCCUUGCUAAGUUGCUGAGGCUGGCUUUGACUCGCAAUCCUCCUGCUUCAGCCUCCUGAGCCGCUGGGAUUACAGGUGUGAACAACUGAGGAUGUUAACCAUCUUUUCUGAGAGUCUCACUAUGUUGUUCAGGCUGGUCUCAAACUCAUGGAAGUAGCUGGGACUACAGCCAGGCAAAAGCGAGACCAUCCUAUGUCCGGAACUAAGCCUAAAGAAGACCUGGCAGCUUCCACUGUUGUGCUCUCAGGACCUCUAAGAUCCCUUAUGAGAAAUCUGGAAGAAGAGACCUUGGCAUGGAGAAAGAGAAAGGUCCAGCCAUCCCAGCAACCCAGCUCUUCCUACCAGGAGAGUGGUAAAAUAGCUGUGGUGUACAGACCCAGUGAAGAGAUCAGAGUUGCCAGAAGUGAAGAAGAACUACAUGAUAUAAUUCAAGUAUGUGAAGAUGAAAGCUCAGGGGUUCCAUAGUCAGUGUAGCCAUGAUUGAAAACAACCAGUGGGCUGGGUGCAGGGUUCAUGCCUGUAAUCCCAGCAGCUUGGGAGGCUGAGGCAGGAGGAUCACGAUUUGAAAACCAGCCUCAGCAACUUAGCAAGGCCUUAAGCAACUCAGAAGGACGCUGUCUCAAAAGAAAAGAAUUAAAAAAAAAAAAAGGGCUAGGUGGCCUGGUAUGGUGAGACCCCUGGCCCUGGAACAAGGAAAUAGGUUAAGUUUCCUGUUCUCUGCUUCGCUUGAGGAGGCCAGUGAGUCACUGAACCAUUUCUGUGGGCUUCCUGUUUAUUCAGCCCUCAUAGAGAGCCUGGGACAGAUGGUUCCUACUGAUUAGCUGGCCCAGGUAGGUCUCGCAUGAUCAGUCUGUGAAGCUGACCUAGUUUUGCUUAAGGCCAACCAAAACCGCUUCCUGCUGUGAGAACUGUGUGUGCUUAAGCUCAGGGAUGGGAUGAUAUAUAAGGGGUAAAGGGGUGAAUAAAAGAAUCUCCUGGAUGAAGAA